GGCCUCUGGGCCUUACAUCGGCUGUAUCGUUACACUGACUGUACAGAAAGAGGAGGCAGAGUCAGCCUUGCCUGUAUACCUCUGCCAGCACCCAUGCCUGGUCUUUAUUGUGGAUAGGACAGGG
ensembl:snoRNA